rnacentral:rRNA from 1 species
AUUGAACGCUGGCGGCAGGCCUAACACAUGCAAGUCGAACGAGUGGCGCACGGGUGAGGAAUGUCUGGGACACUGCCUGAUGGAGGGGGAUAACUACUGGAAACUGUCUCUAAUCCCGCAUACCAUCGUAUUUGCCCAGAUGGGAUUAGCGAGUAGGUGGGGUAAAGGCUCACCUAGGCGACGAUCCCUAGCUGGUCUGAGAGGAUGACCAGACACACGGGAACUGAGACACGGUCCAGACUCCUACGGGAGGCAGCAGUGGGGAAUAUGGCACAAGUGGAGCAAGCCUGAUGCAGCCAUGCCGCGUGUAUGAAGAAGGCCUUCGGGUUGUAAAGUACUUUCAGCGGGGAGGCGUUACCCGCAGAAGAAGCACCGGCUAACUCCGUGCCAGCAGCCGCGGUAAUUC